GACGAGGGGUCCAAGCGUUGUUCGGAAUCAUUGGGCGUAAAGCGGGUGUAGGUGGCUUUGUAAGUCAGGAGUGAAAUCCUCGAGCUUAACUUGGGAAGUGCUUUUGAAACUGCAGAGCUUGAGUGUGGGAGAGGAUCGUGGAAUUCCAGGUGUAGUGGUGAAAUACGUAGAUAUCUGGAGGAACACCGGUGGCGAAGGCGGCGAUCUGGCCCAACACUGACACUGAGACCCGAAAGCGUGGGGAGCAAACAGG
rnacentral:rRNA from 1 species